UAGAGACGGAGCCACAAGUCCGAUUGCAGAACGAGGUGGAGGUGCAAAUUAUCCCCUCGGCUGUAUCUCGUUUGUGCGUGCAAAUUAGAGGUUUCAUAAAUAUUGCUACAUGGCAAACGAUACGAGCUGAGAGACAGUGGAACCAGGAGGAACAAUUUGAUAUAUGGGAGGAAAGUGACUUCUUCCUAGCCGAACUGUUCGACCUCCGACCGUACGAGUCUGAUCCAAAGCCGGAAGAUUGAAAUUAAACGACGGCGUCUCAUCCUAUUUAAAUUUUUUUAAAUUUUAAUUAAGAUUUUUAUUAUAAUAAUAUUUUUAUGUAGCGUG